rnacentral:lncRNA from 1 species
GUAAGAGGCAGCUUUUAAUCAAAAUUUCAGAAUUCUUCUCAUGCCUUUGGCGUGUAUUGCUUUGAGUGAGAGUGAGGAUUUGCUUUCAUCAAUUGCACCAGGAAUCUUGGCUUACUUAUCAACUAUUCGUUGUGGCGUUUGUCAGAUUCUCAUCUAAAUCCUUCGAUCAUUGGUGUUUCAGCUUCUCUAAGUGUGGGGUGCCAUAGGAGGUGGGUUUA